rnacentral:tRNA from 1 species
AGCUCCGAGGUGUUAUCACGUGGGAUUGCAAAUCCCGAGAAGCAGGUUAGUCCCCUGCCGGGGCUU